CUGCAGAUGGCUCCAACAUAGAUCCCUACACAGCCAGUAAGAAAAAGGGGUCACAACUCAAGAGACUAUCCUACACCGAAGACUGGACAAAUGGUUUCAUGAAAUGUUUCCCAGCUUUGUUAGGCUGAUACCCAGAAACAGCUGCUCUUCACUUCUCCCAACUGAAAACUCCAGUUAUUAUCAUUAAAACACCACCCUGCAGAAGAUCCACCCGCUCUGAGGGUAAAAACCUGCAGAAGAUCCACCCGCUCUGAGGGUAAGGGUGUAAAGUGUAAAAAGAACCUUUGCUUCUCCUCCCCGGCUCUUCAUUCACUCCCUUUAUUACUGAAGAACAUCACAGAAGGGGUGCCACUCCCUCUCCAGAGAAAGCUACUGCAUCUCAAAAGCAGUUUUGGGAUAGUAGCUGUGUUUCGCCAACAGCAUAUCACACUUGGUGAGGGUUAGCUACCUAGGAAAGCAGGCACAUGGCACAUAACACUGUGCUGCACGGUGUUCCCGCAGAUGUUUGUUCACAAAGCGCAGCCAGCUCAAGUAAAGCACAUGUUUAGGAAAUAGCUGCUCAGAAUAGAGCAAAUAACUCUGAGGAAUAUUCCUUGCUGUCAGUAUCUUCUAUAUAUUUCUACCACUUCACCCCCAAACAGUGACCUCAGGCAAAGACUAAAAUCCAGAAGCAGA
rnacentral:antisense_RNA from 1 species